GACGUAGGGUCCGAGCGUUGUCCGGAGUUACUGGGCGUAAAGGGCGCGUAGGCGGCCUUCUAAGUCGAACGUGAAAUCCCCGGGCUCAACCCGGGAACUGCGUCCGAUACUGGAAGGCUUGAAUCCGGGAGAGGGAUGCGGAAUUCCAGGUGUAGCGGUGAAAUGCGUAGAUAUCUGGAGGAACACCGGUGGCGAAGGCGGCAUCCUGGACCGGCAUUGACGCUGAGGCGCGAAAGCCAGGGGAGCAAACGGG
rnacentral:rRNA from 1 species